rnacentral:rRNA from 1 species
UGGGGAAUAUUGCACAAUGGGCGCAAGCCUGAUGCAGCCAUGCCGCGUGUGUGAAGAAGGCCUUCGGGUUGUAAAGCACUUUCAGCGAGGAGGAAGGUGGUGAGCUUAAUACGCUCAUCAAUUGACGUUACUCGCAGAAGAAGCACCGGCUAACUCCGUGCCAGCAGCCGCGGUAAUACGGAGGGUGCAAGCGUUAAUCGGAAUUACUGGGCGUAAAGCGCACGCAGGCGGUUUGUUAAGUCAGAUGUGAAAUCCCCGGGCUCAACCUGGGAACUGCAUUUGAAACUGGCAAGCUAGAGUCUCGUAGAGGGGGGUAGAAUUCCAGGUGUAGCGGUGAAAUGCGUAGAGAUCUGGAGGAAUACCGGUGGCGAAGGCGGCCCCCUGGACGAAGACUGACGCUCAGGUGCGAAAGCGUGGGGCAGCAAACAGGAUUAGAUACCCUGGUAGUCCACGCUGUAAAACGAUGUCGAUUUUGGAGGUUGUGCCCUUGAGGCGUGGCUUCCGGAGCUAACGUGUUAAAAUCGACCGCCUGGGGAGUACGGCCGCAAGGUUAAAACUUAAAUGAAUUGACGGGGUCAUAGCUGUUCCU